GCUGGGCUAGCUCAGUCGGUAGAGCAUGAGAUCUCAGGGUUGUGGGGUUUGAGCCCCAUGUUGGGCA